GGUAUAUGUGGAGUCAAAAAACGUUAUCUAUGGAGGCAAAGGGAAUGUAUGAAAGUAUAGUAGUACCAACACUCUUAUAUGGGUGUGAAGCUUGGGUGGUAAAUGCAGCAGCAAGGAGACGGUUGGAGGCAGUGGAGAUGUCCUGUUUAAGGGCAAUGUGUGGUGUAAAUAUUAUGCAGAAAAUUCGGAGUGCGGAAAUUAGGAAAAGGUGUGGAGUUGAUAAAAGUAUUAGUCAGAGGGCAGAAGAGGGGUUGUUGAGGUGGUCUGGUCAUUUAGAGAGAAUGGAUCAAGUAGAAUGACAUGGAAAGCAUAUAAAUCUAUAGGGGAAGGAAGGCGGGGUAGGGGUCGUCCUCGAAAAGGUUGGAGAGAGGAGGUAAAGGAGGUUUUGUGGGCAAGGGGCUUGGACUUCCAGCAAGCGUGCGUGAGCGUGUUAGAUAGGAGUGAAUGGAGACGAAUGGUACUUGGGACCUGACGAUCUGUUGGAGUGUGAGCAGGGUAAUAUUUAGUGAAGGGAUUCAGGGAAACCGAUUAUUUUCAUAUAGUCGGACUUGAGUCCUGGAAGUGGGAAGUACAAUGCCUGCACUUUAAAGGAGGGGUUUGGGAUAUUGGCAGUUUGGAGGGAUAUGUUGUGUAUCUUUAUAUGUGUAUGCUUCUAAACUGUGUAUUCUGAGCACCUCUGCAAAAACAGUGAUAAUGUGCGAGUGUGGUGAAAGUGUUGAAUGAUGAUGAAAUAUUUUCUUUUUGGGGAUUUUCUUUCUUUUUUGGGUCACCCUGCCUCGGUGGGAGACGGCCGACUUGUUGAAAAAAAAAAUA